rnacentral:tRNA from 1 species
GCGUCCUUAGCUCAGCAGGUAGAGCAAAUGAAACUUUUAACCAUUGGGUCAGAGGUUCGAAUCCUCUAGGACGUACCA